CUCUCAAGUCUUCGAAUGACUUAUCCUUAGGCAUGGUCCUAUAAUUUGUGAGUUUGUCAUAUUACUAUGUUAUGCUUAUCAAUUUAAAGAAGUAUUCUUUAUGUAUUUAAUCCUUAGUUUUCAUUGUGUCUACUUAGAGAAUCUAUCUUGAUUUAUUUGUAUAACAUGUACUUUUACAUUCCAACUUAGGAGUGAGGAGAAGAUAUGCAUAGGUUGUCACACCAAGGGCCUUAUUGUUAGAAAAUGUUGUCAGGAAUACUCUCGUUAAGUAUUUAAUUUAGGAGAAGUAAGGUCCCUUUUAAAGAAUCCUAGUCAGGUAUUCUAUUUUCUUUAGAAGUUCGAUUAUGAGUUGGGAAUAGAUCGUUAUGGCUAAUGACUACUGAAGGUUUGGGUUAAUUUAGAUCACUAAAUUUGUUAAUAGUAGUACUUGUAUUUUUAAAAUUUUAUUUUUAGGGAUGUUAAUUUAUGGCAUCCUAAUAGUUGAUCUCCUAGGAUAUUGGAUCUAAGAUUGCAUUUUUCUUUAUCAUAUGUAUAUAUAUACAUUUUUUUCUAAGCAUGGUUGAACAUAUCUCGAACAUAUUGUUUUAACGCUUGGGAAAAAUUUAAGGUCUUUCCUGAAUGAGAAAAUGAGGAUGCGUCCAAAGUGGGUCAUCUAUUUUCUAUCUCCAAAAGGGUGAUGGAUUUAUUAAGAAUUUGUCUAAACUCGUUAUACUACCAACCUCGAAUAUAAUGGUUAUUUAACUCUCACACAUACCAUCACAACUCCUCACUUUCUCUUGGAGGUCCAAUCUCGUGCUUAUAGAAGUUCUCUUAGGUUGGUUACUUUUCUUCUAAAUACACCCAAAUUAAGGUUCAUUCACCAAGAAGUUGUAUUCCAAUCUCAUAGAUUCAAAACUUAAGUGGUUUGACUAUAACCUAUUCUAAAACUCUCUAUUUUACUUAACAUAGUGCUUCCGUAAAGGUAAUAUAUUAUCCUCACAACUUGUCAAAGUUUGGGUGACUCCCAAAAUCUCAACCAUUAAUCGAGUUCCUCUAGGGUAUCUAAUGAUGAAAUUCUUUAUUUUCAAGAUUUAUUAGGAUCCUUUGGUACUGGGGCCCAUCGAAGGUCUUGCUAAGAUUGGCUACAUUCGACAAUUACUUCCAUCUCCUCAAUGUUAAAUAUUGUCAAUCCCCAAUAAAUGAUCACUCUUAUAGGGGAAUAUUGGGAAAAUUAAAUAAACCUAGUAGCAUACUUGGUUAACUAUCAUAUGUCCUUAGCAUAGGUCCUUAAAUUUUCCUCAGUUAGGUCUAAAAUGGAAAAGAAAAGGCUUUUCUAUUUGCAGAAUCCAAGUUUCUGCGACCAAGGGAUUGGGUCAACCAUAAAAGAAAGUAGGGUUUAGUCUCCUAACAUCAUAGAUAUUUUUGUGAAAUGGUUCUAUCUAUAUGACAAAAAUCAUUGGCAAGGGGUGGCUGGUUUCGGUUAUGACCAACACCAAUGGUUAAACCCUGAAUGGCUCAGAAUAAUUUUGUGAACUCAGCCUGGGUUGGAGAUGUCCUAGGCCUCGAGACGUUAUACAGAUGGUAUUCCUCGAGUCAUUAAUCGUUCAAAAGGGAGACAACAAGCCUGAUGACUAAAAAAAUGUCAUUUUUAUUUCUAAGAAUUUUUUAAGGUUUUCUCUAAUUCUAACUAUAGGCUCUAUUGUAAGGGAUUUUUCGAGGAAUCAUACUCUGAUGCCAAUUGUAACAUCUCAAAUGAUUGGUAAGGUAUAAAGGUGCUUGAUAAUAGAAACAGAUAUUAGUGCAAUAGAAAAAUAUAUGAAGUUAAACUUUAAAUCCCUUACAAUCAAAUUAUAGGAUAAGCGUUUAUACAACCAAGGCCAACAAGGGUCAUCGAAUAGGAAUGUACACAAAAUUUCUUAAUCAUAAAAUUAAUGUUCAUCAGAGCGCAUAAAAAAUACGCACUCAUAAAUACUUUAGAGAUCCAAGGAAGGAUCAAAGUAAGCUUUAAGGGGUAAUAAUGCAUGUGACUCAUCACUAUCAUGAUCUAGGAGGUCCCAUCAUGGAAAGGGUGAGUUACAUGAAAUUCAAUAAGAAAAACAGUAUUAAAAUUAUAUUGCUAAGGUAUUAAAAGUUAUUAGCCUUAAAGGAACAUGCUUACCCAAUAAUAACAUACUUUGGAGAUCCAUUGCCAAAGGAUAGAUUUAAACAUUUAGAAACCAUUUAUUCUUUUACGAAAACCCUUUAAACAUAUCAAACAGAGCAACAAUUUGUAGAGAUAGAUUAAAUCAUAAAAGUUUUUAAACAUUACUAAAUAGAGAAAGAAUCUACAAAAUAUAAGCAGAAUCAUGUUUUCAAUUAAAAACACAACAUAAGAAACAAUAAUAUGUUUAUGUUUUUAACCAUUUCUUGGUGCUAAACUAUUCCGACACAUAUCUACUGAGGGCAGAAGGGAUUCUCAACUACCACUAUAAAUGAUGUCAUUUCGUUUCAUAUAAGCAUGUUUUGGUGUGCUAAGCCUCAACACAUUUUGGUUUACCAAACCAAUAUAAGGGUGGGAUCUAUGACCACAGUAAUAUGUCGCCACUGUGGCCCCUACCUAUAGUUUUGCGAAUUUGCUCUCAUCAGAGGGAACGCUCGUCAUUCACAUAGAGUGAUUCACCAGCAGAUUCAUAUUCAAAAAUAGAAGCAGAAACAGAGACCGAAACCCCUUAGAGAUAACAAUAUAACGGAUUUUUAAGUCCUUUCCCUUUUUCUUACUUCAUGUCAAUUCACAAUCCACAUGUAUCGAACUUAUUUGUUCCUUCCACUUACCUCGGCAGAAGGCCCAUGACAACCAGAUUCAAUGAAUAUAAGAUAGAUCAACAUAACGUAAUACAAUAAUACACAUACUUUUAAAAUUAGAUAAGAUAGCAAAAAAUAUCAUGCAUCAUCAUAGUUUAGUUAAUUUAUCUAAAAAUAGUACUUAGAGGUGUAAACAUAAAUAUAAAUCCCUUAAAGAUAUUUGGCGAGUAACCGGGCUUUUAAAAGUAAAAUAGAAGGGUACUUUGCAUCUAGGACUCCCUCAGUGACUCCUACGAGCUUCUUCUUUCCUUUUUUAUAUAGAACUUCACUUUCUCUCUCCAAAAAAAAUUGAAUUAGGAAGAAGAGAAAAUGGAAAUGGAUGAAAGGGCUUAGUAAUCCUUAAACAAGCUCUUAAAAAUCCUACAUUUUCUCCUUUUUUCCUUCUUUCUCUCUUUAAAAAUUCUCUUUCUUGCUCUAAAAUCUCUCUAUAGAAGGUGAAAAUGGAAAAAGAAAUAAAGUGUGGGAAAUGAGGAAGAAGAGAGCCUUUAAAUAGGCAUGGAGAAGGCUUGGAUAUGCACGACAUGGCAAGCAUCCAAGUUGGUGGUUGAGAGGUGGGCAAGGAGUGGGUGAGGAAUGGUUGACCGUGCGACCCACAAGGCAUGGGCGAGGCAUAGGGGUACAGGGCUUCUCCUCUUUUUGGUUUUCUUUUCUUUUCUUUAUUUACUUUCUUUUAUUUCUUUUCUUUUUUUUCUCUCUUUUCCACCUCUUAAUUUAUUUUAUUUUUUAUUUUUUGAAAAUUCAUAAUUAUAAAUUAAAGAUAAAAUCAAAUUUAAAUAUUUUAAAUAAACAAAUUAAAUUUAAUCACAUAAAACGUGGGAAAAAUUAAAAUACAGAAAUAUUAAUAAUUUAAAAUACAAAUAAAUUAAUUACCAAGAAAAAUUUAAAAUAGCUAUUAGCCUAAAUUAGUAGAAUUUUGACCAUACACUAAAGUGCAAAGAUUCAGGGUGUUACAACUACCUUAUUUUUAUACUUGUCUAUGGAGAAGGGAAUUUUGACUUGAUUGUUUACUUUGACUCUCCACACUCAUUGAGCCAAUAUAUUAAAUAAGGAUUAGGAUGUUUAGUGCAUGACAAUCCUAACAUGUCAACUAGCAAUGUACUGGCAACAUUGGCAUAAUUGCCCAAAUCUAUGAUCAAACGGAAUACCUUCCUAUUCACAUGGCAUCUAGUGUGGAAGAUAUUUUCUCUUUAAUCAUUAUUCGUUUCAUUUGAUUGCAUACUUAGUGCUCUCCUAACAACUAAGAUCUCACCUUGCACUGGGGUUGUUAAACUGUCUUCACAAUCAUCUAGUGAUCUUUUGCUAUCAUCAUCAUUAUUGUACUCACUGACACUCUUUAUCUCUCCAUCAUCACGUAAUAACAUGAUCUUUUUGUUGGAGCAUUGGGAGGUUAUGUGUCCAACUCCAAGACACCUAAAAUACUUAAUAGAACUUUGUUUUUGAGUAGUAAUAACUAGUUUCGGGUAUCUUUAGAUUCAGUAGAGUUGGACUUGUCCCUCCUUUCUUUAAACCUCUUCCUCUCUUCCCUUUUGGACUGUUUAGAACUAUAUUGAGGCAAUGACUAGUAAUUUCCUCUAGAGGAAUCCCUGUUCUUCAGUUGCCUCUCAAUCUUCAUAGCCAUGUUCACCAUUUCUUCUAGAUCUAUAUAGUGAUGUAGCUCCACAACAUUGACAAUCUCCUUAUUUAGACCACUCAAAAAUCUAGCCAUGGUGGCUUUUGGACUCUCAUAAACUUUGGCCCUAAUCAUUGCCGUCUCUAUAUCUUUGUGGUAGUCUUUCACGUACAUGGAUUCUUGGGUCAAUUGUUGGAGCUUCUGGUAUAAUUUCCUAUCAUAAUAAGAUGGAACAAACAAUUUUCUUAUGAUAGACUUCAUAUCUCUCCAGGUGUAUACAGGUUGAUCUCUGUUUCUUCUCAUAAGGGCGAUCAGUUCAUCGCACAAAAUAAAUGCAUAAUCUGUGAACUCAACUGUUGCUAGCUUCACUUUCUUAGGUUCACUAUAGUUGUGGUAGUCAAAGAUCAACUCUACCUUCUAUUCCAACUCAAGGAAGGUCUCUACAUCAUUCUUGCCUCUCAACGACAGUAUAUGUAUCUUGAUGGAUCUGAUGUCACCAUCUUCCCUCCGAACCUCUAUUCUAUCAACUUCACUAUUGUUUCCAUAGGACUCAUAAUCAUCCUAGAGGUGCUGGCAUCUAGGAUGACUAUGGUUCCUGUAACACCCCGCUCAUUAUUGUGCUUAAUUAAUUUGGAACCUCAAUUGAUUAGGCCUUUAGCUGCAUUAAACUUAUUUAAAUUACACCGCAUAUUAUUUAUCGUAAUUCAUAAAUCUAGUUGAUUUUUAAUUAUUUUGCUUCUAUUUAAUUUUAUUUAAUUUGCAUUUAAUUUUAUUUAUUGGUAAAAAUAAAAAAAAAGAAAAAAAUGGAAUGAAGCGUGAAUGGUCCAAUAUAUAUAUCUGUAUUGACAUACAUAUUCCAUCAAGUGUCUCGUUAGGCUUUUUAUCUCUGAGAGGUGUAUGUUUUUUCCUCCCCCAUCUGGUCUGGAAAGACAUAAGAGGACCUCUCCCAGUGGAUGAUGGUGUACUCUCUAACGAGAGUGGUAACACGAAUAUCUAUUAGAGGUCACCAUUUGCUAAGUAUUAUCGUGACUGUAGAUAUCUGAUAAGGUCAUUAUGGUUGGUACGGUUGUGGUCGUGGAUCGUACCAUGGUUUGGCUAGCUAGAAAUGGACCUAAACAAAUUGCCAUAUCUGUAUCUGAUCUGGUCAUUCCACUUGGGUAGUUGAAAAUCUAUAUUUGCUUUCAAAGAUGGAAGUUGUAACGACUUCACACGAAGUAUGACAUGAAAAGUUGAGCAUUUCACGAUUUAUUUGAUUUCCUCUAUUAUCUUACAUGAUAUAUGCUUGAUUUGUUCAUAUUAGUGUAUUGUUUUCUUAAUAAAUAAAUUAUUUUCAUAAUAUAAGAUCGAUGUACGAGGUGUUUAAAAAAUAAACUUUUAAGUUAAAAUAAUUCACUUUUAAAACCUUACUAUGUUAAUUUAAUACUGUUUUUCUUACUGAGCAUAUGGAACUCACUUUUCCCAUUUCUCGCAGAUGAAGAAGAAAAUGAGGAACCGUAAGUUGACCUACUCUUGGAAGUCUAUGAGGAUCCCGUCGAUCCAUAAAAUUUGAGUGCAUGAUUGUUUCCGCACUCUAAUGAGUCCAAUAGCAUAAUGAAAGAAGUGGCAUUAUUUUGUGUUUUGUUUUUCUAUUUGUAUUUUAUAACCACUUCAGGCCUCAGUUAUAUAUUUGUAAGGGAUUUAUAUUAAUUAUUCUACUGCAUAAAAUUUAUCAUGCACUCAUUAUUCUGAAUCUGUAUCUGACACCCAUUUACCUUAAUUAGCAUAUGGGAUGUCAUAGAUGGUAUCAGAGUAGAAAAAUUGCAGAUCAAAUCCCUUACAUUGAGGCCUUAGGUAGAAAAAGCCCUUUAGAGUACCUAGGAAAAAUAAGUCCUCUUUUCAAAACUAGACCACCAACUCGUGUCUUCCUUUCUUUUGUAGGAAUGACACGAGGAAGACCAUCCAUAUAGCAUACUGAGUGACCUGAAGCCCUAGAUCACUCACCAGGGCUGAAUUUGUCAAACUCUUUCAAGCUAUCCAAGAAUUAACUACAGCCGUAGGAUAAAAUCAAGCCAACCCACAUCCUACCUUCGAAUUUCAAAACACUGAGAGAUCUAUUUCCCAUAACAUAGCAGAGUUUAGGAAACUUAACACCCCACACUUUGAAAGUGGCCCUGAUCCCUUAGUAGCUAAAGCUUGGAUCCUACAGAUAGAGAAGCUCUUCUAUGUUCUAGACCUGAUUGAGGAACAAAAAGUUCCCGUUGCAGCCUUCAUGCUAAACGGCGAAGCAGAACACUGGUAGUGACUUAAAAAGGAAGUCCUACUUACCCCUACCACCUGAGAAGUUUUCAUGGAUGCAUUCUUUGAUAACUUCUUCCCUGCCUAUGUUUGAGAAAAGAAAGAGGAGAAAUUUUAGGACCUACACCAAGGGAGUCUGGUUGCCCAGUAUGCAAUUCGUUUUAUUCAACUGUCUAGGUUUGCCCCUCUAAUGGUUAUCCCUAAGAGCCAAAAAGUUAAGAAGUUUCUCAAGGACCUUCGUGUCGACAUCUAUGAUCGGGUCGCGAUGCUGAGACCUAGCUCGUAUGUGAAGGUGCUCAAACAUGCCCAGUUUGCCAAAGAUCUCAUCUCGGCCAAAUACUAACGCAUUGCCCGAGUUCGUACCCAAUAAUAACCCCAGCAGCUUAGGAGGAGAUUACCUGACCCAGUAAGUAGCCACUGUGAUAAACGAACUAGAGUUGCCCUUCUCCCUACUUUGCCUCCACCUAUAAUUCAACCUACUUGACCUAACGAACCUUAUCAACAUUGUGGUCGCUCAUAUGGUGACCUACCAUUGUCUCAAUCAUGCCUGUUAUCAGUGCAGAAGCACCCAACACCUUAUAAAGGACUGCCCCCAGCAACCAAAGGGCAUUGCCUAGCCUAUAGCACAAGGUCGUGUAUACCACUUGGAUGAAUCCGGUGCUCUUCCUACUCCUGUUCUUAUCUAAGUUAUGUUUUCUAUUUAUGACACUUUUGCCAAGGCUCUGAUCGAUACAAAUGCUACUUACUCUUUUAUUUUUUUUACAUUUGCUGUAAUCUUGAUUUUAGACUAGAACCUUUGACAGAAACAUUAAUAGUAGAAACUCCCUCUAGGGGACUGCUAGAGGCUCAUUGUGUAUAUAAAGACUGUAGGAUAAAAGCUUAAGGAAUAGAGGUAUUUAUAAAUCUAACACUGUUAGAUUUUGUAGGAUUUGAUGUGAUAUUAGGAAUAGAUUGGUUGGAAAAGUAUAGAGCUAUAAUUGAUUGUAAAAGUAAAAUUGUAAUUUAUGGUCUCAAAAAAAGGAAUAAAAUUUUCAUUAUUAUUUUUCCUAACCAUUGAAUGAAGAAGAAUAUGGGUGUUGAUCCUGCUGUAUGUGCCAUACCAAUUGUUUGUAACUUUUCAUAUGUCUUUCCCACCGAACUUCCUGGUCUACCUCCCCCGCGAAAAGUAGAGCUCUUAAUUGAAUUACUGCUUGGAACCCAACUAAUCUCAAAGCCUACCUAUUGUAUGAGUCGUGCUGAGCUAGUAGUGCUGGAACAUCAGCUUUCUAACCUUAUUACCCAUAAGUUUAUUCACUCUAGUCAUUCUCCUAAGGGCGCUCUGCCAUUAUUUGUGAAGAAAAAUGAUGGUUUCCUCAGACUCUAUAUGGACUACCAAGAAAUCAAUCAAGUGAACGUUAAAAGCAAGUACCCAUUACCUCAAAUCAAUGACUUCUUCGAUCAACUAUGAGGAGCCACAGUCCUCUCUAAGAUCAAUCUCAGGAUGGGAUACCACCAGUCGAGAGUCAAAGAAGAAGAUAUUCUGAAGACCACUUUUCGGUAUAGGUACGGUUUGUAUGAGUUCAAGAUAGUGGCGUUUGGAUUAACCAAUGCCCCUAUAGCUUUCAUGGACCUAAUAAACAGAGUUUUUCGACAUGCACUAGAUCAAUACCUCAUCAUUUUUAUUGAUGACAUCCUAGUGUAUUCCAAAAGCCUUUGAGAACAUACAGUGCACUUGACUGAAGUGUUGGAGACUCUUCAUCAGAACCAACUAUACGCUAAACUGAGCAUAUACUCUUUCUGGUUGGAUCGAGUUUCUUUUCUUGGAGAUGUAAUUUCGAGUGAAAAAGUUUUCGUAGACAUAUCCAAGGUGAAAACGGUAGUAACAAGAAUCUGGCUACCAAUGUGGCUGAGGUACAUAGUUUCCUUGGCUUGGUAGGUUAUUACUGACAGUUCAUUAAUGGAUUCUCUAAGAUUGCCGCCCCAUUGACCUAACUUACCCGAAAGGGGGUACUGUUCAUUUGAAAUUUUUAGUGUACUGAAAGCUUGAUGGAAUUGAAGCAUCGUCUCACCUCUGCUCCUGUGUUAAUCCUCCCCGACAAUACAAAAAGAUUUCACGUCUAAUGCAAUGCAUCUCAUAUUAUCUUAGGGUGUGUCUUGAUGCAGCACGAUAGAGUAGUCACUUAUGGGUCCCGACAAUUAAAACCUCAUGAGCAGAACUAUCCUACCCACGACCUGGAACUAGCAACCAUUAUCUUUACCCUGAAGAUAUGGUGUCAUUACCUGUAUAGGCAGACCUUUGAAAUUUAUACUGACCGUAAGAGUUAAAAGUACAUCUUGUUACAGAAGGAGUUAAACAUGAGACAGAGAUACUGGAUAGAUCUUUUAAAGGACUAUGACUUGAAGAUCAUCUAUCACCACAGGAGAGAAAAUAUGGUCGUCGAUGCACUCAGCUGAAAGGAGUCUGCUGUGUUGGCUCAAACAAUGGUCUCCAAUUAGAAAUUGAUGGACCUUACAUAGUCUCUCUGCCUUAGCUAUUACGGCAGAGACACCUAUCUUGCCCAGAUCCGAUCGCUGCUGGAUCUUUUUAUGAAAAUCUUGAAAACUCAAUCUACGAACCCAAAACUCACCAAGAAUCUAGGUAAGUUCACUUAUGAUAAAUCUCCUAAUUUCAAGAUUUCAGAUGAUGGACUAUUCAGAUUCUAGAACCGAAUUUGGGUCCCCAUUGUUGUAAGGGCUGAUGUUCUCAAGAUCUCCCACGCUUCCAAGCUAUCCACUAAUCUUGAAAGGAAUAAAAUGUACCGAGACUUAAAGCGUCAGUACUGGUGGCCAGGAAUGAAGAGGGAUAUGGUUAAUGGUAUCUCUCGAUGCCUUACUUAUUUGUGGGUUAAGGUAGAACAUUAGAGACCCAAUGGUUUGUUACAAGGUCUUCCAAUUCCUGAAUGGAUUUAACUAUGGAUUUUGUUACAGGAUUACCCAGGAUCGAUUCUGGUCAAAACACUAUCUAGGUCAUCAUCGACAGACUGACUAAGACCGACCAUUUUUUGUCCAUCAGAACCACUGACUCCACCAGUAAGUUAGCUUGCUUAUAUAUUGAUAAUAUUGUUUGACUUUAUGGUGCUCCCUCAUUCAUUGUGUUCGACCGUGAUCCUCGGUUUACUUCCCACUUCUGGGACAACUUCUAGGAAACUCUAAGGUCUGGGUUGUAUUUCAAUACCGCUCAUCAUUCCUAAAUGGAUGGUCAGUCAAAACAUACGAUCUAAACAUUAGAAGACAUGUUUGGUGCUUACACUCUCGACUUCGGUGAUAACUAGUAUAAGUAUCUUCCCCUUUAUGAAUUUGCUUACGAUAACAGUUAUCAUUCCAGCAUUGGCAUGGCCCCGUAUGAAGCACUGUAUGGAAGGCCUUAUCAUUCUCCUACUUGUUAGAGUGAAGUUAGAAACCAGCACCAUUUAAGACCAGACUUAGUUCAGGAGACAAUUUAGAAGGUCACAAUCAUCCGUAAGAACUUGGCCACUGCCCAGAGCUGUCAAAAGAGUUACGCCGAUAAUCAUAGGAGACCCUCAGAGUUUGCUGUAGGAGAUCAGGUCUUCCUCAAGGUUUUCUUCUAUAGGGGAAAGAUGUGGUUCAGGAAUAGAGGGAAGUUGAGCCCUCGUUAUGUGUGACCUCUUUGGAUCAUCAAGCGCAUUUGACACGUGGCAUACCACCUCACUCUAUUUCAAGAAUUUAAGGGUCUAUGUGACGUCUUUCACAUCUCGAUGCUUAAUAAGUACCACCCUGAUCUCUCAUAUUAUUCCUCGCGAUGAGGUGUAGGUACAAGCCAACAUGACUUAUGAGGAGACUCCCACGGAGAUUCUUGGUUGGACCGAUAAGGUCUUUUGUAACAAGAUAAUUUCCAUGGUGAAGGUGCGAUGGCAGCAUCAUACAUCGGAGGAAGCCACGUGGGAGUUAGAGAGCGAGAUAAGGGAGAAGUAUUUGGAUAUGUUUGAGACAAAUUUAGGGACAAAAUUUUUUAAGGUGGGGGGGAUGUAACACUCCGUCCACCGUUAUGCUUAAUUAAUUUGGAAAACCCUAAUUGUUUGGGCCUUUGGCCGCAUUAAAAUGACUUAAAUUACACUACAUAUUAUUUAUUGUAAUUCGUAAAUCUGGUUGAUUUUUAAUUAUUUUACAUCUAUUUGAUUUGAUUUGAUUUUUAUUUUUAUUUUUAUUAUUUAAUUUGCAUUUAACUUUGUUUAAUUUAAUUUUAAAAAAUUGGAAAAAAUUGAAAAAAUAGUGAAACGGGAAGAAAUCCUGCGGGGAAACAGAGCUGCCCGCGCAUAUGCUGCACACCGUGGGCACGUGUACAACAUCCGCAGGACGUGCGCACAGCUUGCAUGGCAUGGGGAAAGGUCAUGCGUGCAUCUUGUUGUGCAUAGGUGGGUUGUCCGUCUUUCACCUCGCACGUGGACAGGCGCCGCAAAUUGUGUGUGCAUGUCCGUGCCGCAGACCUACGCGAAUAGGCUUUGCGCGCUUAGGGCCUGUGCACUUGGGGCCUGCACGCAGUAGGCCUGCAUGCGCAGCAAGAGGCCUGUGCGCUCGCAGGCUAGCUUGUAGUGCGCCGACCGAGGCACUACUUCCUUGGGCAAUGCACCAAUGUCGCCUCAAGUGGCGCACCACUACCGCCAGUAGAGGAGGCCCUCCUCCCUCAUUUUUCGUGCCGAGCAUCUUUUUUUCCUCUUUCUUCACCAGAUUUCACCACUUGAUGCGAAUCCAACAGUUUUAAAAUUCUAUAAAUAGCCUUCCCACCCCAUUCUUCCCUACACUUCAAUUCUUCCAUUUUUCUAGACUUAGAGAGAGAAAAUGAGAGAGAGAGAGUGAUCUAGUGGGAGAAGGAGAAAAAGAAAAUAAAAGCGGUGAAUGAGAAAAUAUAAAGGUUUUGGAAAGGAAUUUACUAUUUAUUUUGAUAUCUUAAGGGAUAUUUUUGAUAAAAUAAAAUUAUUAAACAUGACGAUUUUGAUUUUGCCUGCUUGUAUGCCUUUGUGUUUAUAGUUCAGAUAAGUCGAAUUGUUCUUGUUUUCAAACAUGUUAUAUGAAUCAUAGAUACUUGAUGAUUUGCAUGUAAUAAAAUAUAAUAUGAAGUAAGAAUUAUUACCUGGUAAAAAUAAAGAAUAAAAAGAAAAAAAAAAGUGAAAUAAAGCCUGAAUGGUCCGAAAUAUAUAUCUAUGUUGACAUGCAUAUUGUAUCAAGUGUCUCGUUAGGCUUUUAAUCUCUGAGGAAUAUCUGUUCCCCUAGCCCUUUGGGGUAUCUAUUUUUCCCUCCCCCAUCUGGUCUAUAAAAACGUAAGAGGACCGCUCCUAGUGGAUGACGACGUACCCUUUGACGAGAGUGGUAACACGAAUAUCUGUUAGGGGUCACCCUUGGCUAGGUAUUAUUGUGACUGUAGAUAUCUGAUAGGGCCACUAUGGUUGGUACAGUCGUGGUCAUAGAUCGUACCAUGGUUUGGCCAGCCAAAAAUGUGUCUGAGCAAAUUAUCGUAUCUGUAUCUGAUCUGGUCAUUCCACUUGGGUAGUUGAAAAUUUGUAUCUGCCUUCAAAGAUGGAAGUUAUAACAACUUCACAAAGCAUGACACGAAAAUCUGAGCAUUUCAUAAUUCAUUUGAUUUUUUCUAUUAUCUGGCAUGAUUCAUUUGAUUUAUUCAUAUUAAUGUACUAUUUUCUUAAUAAAUAAAUUACUUUCAUAAUAUAAGAUCGGUUUAUGAGAUGGCCAAAUGGUAAGCUUUUAAGUUAAAAUAAUUCACCUUUAAAACCUUAAAAUGUUAAUUUAAUAUUGUUUUCCUUACUGAGUAUAUAGAACUCACUCUUUCCAUCCCCCUAGAUGAGGAAGAAAAUGAGGAACCGCAAGCUGACCUACAAUUGGAAAUCUAUGAGGAUCCAGUGGAUCCACAAAAUUUGAGUGCAUGAUUAUUUUCGCACUCUUAUGAGUCCAAUAGCAGAGUGAUAGAAGUGGCAUUCUUUUGUGUUGUGUUUUUUUGUAUUUUGUAGCCACUUCAGGCCUCAGUUAUAUGUAUGUAAUUGGAACUCAUACAUAUAUUUAUAAGGGAUUUGUAUUAAUUAUUUCACUGCAUAAAAUUUUAUCAUACAGUUGUCAUUCUGAAUCUGCAUUUGAUACUCAUUUUCCUUAAUUAGCAUAUGGGAUUUCAUAGUUCCUUCCUCCAUCUCUCUUAUCCAUCCUUGUUGUUAUGCCUUGAAUAGCUAAGCUCAGUUUGUUAUACAUGUCAUCAAUCCUAGCCUUUAUGGAUUCUUCUAAUGUCAUAUGUCGAUUGGCUUCACUAGGCCAAGACAUAUUGGCAAAAAGAUGUUAAUGAGAAAAGAAAAGAAAUCACUACCUCACAACCACACGUGUUUACCUUUCCUAUCUUUUUCCAUCAAGUUGAAUGUCGAAAUUGGAUCUCUUGAAUCAAGAUAAGCAAGGUUGUCUUUAAGACUCGGCAAAGAAUCCUAAAAAGGAUCUUAUUCACUAAACGUUUAGCAGUAACCAUACGGAGGAAGAAUAUAUGAUGCUUUUAUGCUUAUAGCUAGGUAGUUAGGAUACAAUUAACCACUUAGAUGCAUAAUGGAACUAAAGCACUCAAGAAAAAAUGAAACUAGAAGUAGAAGAAACACAAUUAUGGAAUUAAAGUGUCGAGAAUCUGAUUAACCUCUAUGGAUAUAACUAGAACGUUACCUAAUUAUUCUACCCUAAUGAUGGUUGCACUCUAGGACUCACUUGAAUUUCUGUUAUGCAAAUGCUAAUGUAAGAUAAUGAAUGUAAUGUUGCAAAAGGAAAAUAAGGAAAUCAUGCACCCUUUUGAAUUUUGAUAUGGUGGUUGAUUGGCAAUUUGCUAUUUCAAGAUUUCUUUUGUUCUCUCUCUUUUUUUCUCUCUUUCUUUUCUCCCUUGUUUUUUACUAUAACAACAAUAAUAAGGAAAUUCCUUAAAAAGAGACUGGAUGAAUUAGCACCUUACAUAACAAGUGCUAAUUUUUAUGCAAAAAGUAAAUGCAAGGUAGUAAAUCUAAAGAUAGUAGAUUUACUAGAGCGUAAGAUCGGAUAUAAACUGAUGUAAAACUUAAGAUCAACAAUGCAAUCCAAAACCCCAUAUAUACAUUAGCAACUAAAAACUCUAAAUUCUUAGUAAACCCCCCCUACUUGAUCCGCACUCAACAAGGGAGUGAAAAUCAAGUUUAUAAAUAACGAAACAAGGAAUUAGAAUUGAAAGGAUGCCACAAGACUUAGCUCGAUAAGUUAUAUCAAUUCCUUACUCAAUAAGUUAGACGAAGACAUAUUCACUGAAUUCACUCUUUAAAGCUUAGAAGUUAAAGCAAGAAUAUUAAUCUUUAUUGAUAAGUUGAAUGGUGUGUAGGAAAUAGGGUUGAUGGCCUCCUUAUAUAGACUUGUCAUCCAUUAUUCUACUUGAAUAAGGAUUUAAAUAUUCUAAUCUAAUUUUUAUUUCUACUUCAAAUAGGAAACUAAUACUUAAUUAAAAAAAAACUCAAAUUAAAAGAAAUAUCUCUUCCUUUGGCAGCUUGUAGGACUUCUUCUCAACCUCGAUAAUUAGAUUCCCCUCUGGCUUCUUAUUCUUUUAUUUCUUUAUUGUUUUUGCAUGCAGGUAUCUACUGGAAGAUAGGAUUCCCCUUGUGAUUUGGAGUAGAAGACUGGAUUUAAAAAUUAGGUAGGAAACAGAUUACAUUGUAGUUCUUCCACUUUGCAUGUAGUCUUUUCCUUAUGUUAGAUAUCCAAUUUUGAAUAUGUUUAGGUAUUUUCUCUCAUUUGAUUUUAUACUUUUAUUUUGAUUAGGAAAACCUGAAAGGAGUUGGUGAUUAAGAAAAAAAACUCCAUGUUCUUCUCGGGUUGGGUGCCAUAUUACUAUUGAGAAGUUCUCUCAUCCUUCAUUACUCUUUUUAUUUUUUUCUGUUUCUUAUGUUCGAAAUUGAUCUGUAGCUUUUUCUUGCAAUUUUUCUGGAGUUUGAUCAUGAGUCCUUAAGCUUUUCCAAGGAAAAGACUUUAGAACCCACUUGGGUGGGAUGAAAAUCCUCCCCUUCCUUUUGGCCAUGGAUCUCCAAGAUAAAGAUCAUGCAUGGCCAAGAUGACUAAGACUCUUCUUGCUGUCUUAAACUCUUUUUUACUAUUUCUUGAGCUCUAAAUUCUAUUUCUUAGGUGAUCCACUCUUAGAUAAUAAGAUUGAAGGCCUUUUGGAGAUUCUUGGAUUGUGCUCGGGUAACAAGACCUUCUAGAACUUGAAUCUUUCUUUCUAAGUCUCUCAAACCAUCAUCUUGAUGAUUCUUGAUAUUUUUUUGGCUGGGAACUUCAUGAGAAAUCAAAGCUAGUCGGUUGGAGCUUCAUUUUUUAUGAUUCAGGUUUAUAUCACAUCUUCUCUAUUCGUAUGCUUAAAUCCAAGCUUCUUGAAAGGAGAUCCCUUUAGAAUUCCUUGUAGAGUCUUAAAGACAAUCUUGAAUACAUUAAUUCAAGAAAACUCAGUCUCGACACUCAACUUAAGGGAAGAAGGUUGAGAGUUGAGACUCUGAGGUGAGCGUAAACACAAGUGAAAAGUAAGGGAGAGUAUUUUCCAGUAACUCUUUUUAGGUACUUCACUAUGUCUUAAUGAAGUAAAAAUAAUAGUUUAGCCAAUAGUGUCCUAACUCAUUUCAGGGUCUUAAAAUAAUAUUUGCUGCCGCUGCCAGGAUACAAGUCUUGCCCAAGGCUUAAUCAUGUACAAAUGAAUUUCCUUGUGCAAAAUAAGCUCAAUUAGGGGCCUUUUUGGAAUUAACUCCUAUAUUUAUAGUUUCAUUAUAACUCAACAAAAUUCCUUCCGUUAGGCAGUAAUUGACCUAAUUAGGCCCUUAAAAAAAUUGACAUUUAUGCACACUAUUAUUUUAUCUAAAGCAAAAUUAAAAAUCUUUUAACGAAUCCCUCAUUGUUCAAGAGCGGAGUCUUGGGUGUCGUGAUAUGAAAAACAUAAAUAAUGAGUUGGCUACGCUACACUAACUCAGUAAAGAAACAAUAACAAAAAACCAUAAUGACUCAUCAAAGAGUUGUAGAAACAAUCAUCAAAACCUUUUUAAGUUUCUCAUUUCAUUUCUUUUGUAAGUUCUAUCUCUAACCUGAUAAUCCUAUUAUGUCCUAUCUUAAUUCCUCUUGUACUCGAUCAAUUACUAUUCCUUCUUUUCCUGUAUCCUUAUCAUUUUUUGGGCCAUUUAAAUUUUAUUCAAGAUAACUAAACAUUAUCUUUCGUUUUGCCUUUUCGUUAUAACUUUCCUUACUCAUUAUAAGUAUUUCUGUUCUCACAAGUAGACCUUUUCAUAUUCAUUAACAAACACUUCUAUUCUCAUUAGUUGAUUAUAAUGAGAACAUAUCCAUAUACAUAUGUUAUACAUAUCAAUAAGAUUUAAUCAUUUUCCUUUAACCAUUUCAUUUUACUAUUAAAGUUUAUUUACUUUUUAAGUUCUAUCGCAUGAUGUCGUUUUUACCGGUAUCAUUGAGGGUCUAUAAGGAUCCCCUCUACAUGUGAAUACUCAAACAUAUCCAUAACUUUCUCAUACGUCAACCUAUAUGAGCGCCACAGAUUAUCUACCAUCCUCUCAUAUCAACCUAUAUGAGUACCACAUAUCAUCGAUCGUCCUUAUAUCUCAUACCUCAACCUAUAUGAGUACCACAAAUCAUUUCCCAACCCUAUCUAGCAUGGGACUUCCCAACCACAUCUGGUUGAGGUUGUAUCCACAGUAGGGUUCACUAUAGAUUUUACCCUUGCACCCUCCCUCUUUGAUACUUGCUAAAUGAGUUUCCUCAUCUUUUAAAGGACACUUUCAAUUUUACAGUUAACCUUUAUUUUGUACUUAUUUUAAUUAUUUAUUGUUAGUACUUAUUAACCUAAAUUUUACAUUUCAUUCUUCUUAUUAAUUUAAUUUAGUUAUCUCUUUUUUUCAAACUCUCAUCUCAGUUUAAGUAAUUAGAAUUUUAUUAAUUCUUUUAUUAUUUCAACAUCUUUUUAAUUAUUUUUCUCCCAUAUAGAUACAUACAUAUAUUUUCUUGAGAUAAGAGUUGUUGUGUGUCUAUUACCUUUAAUGUUUCUAAGCUUUCUCCUUCUUAUGUAGGUGAUGAUUCAAGAAGGAACACAUUUAAAGAAGGGAGGGUAUAAUGUGAGCCAAGGAGCCAUGAAGAAACUCAGAAUGAUAGAUAAGAAACCACUGGGAUUGUCACCCUCGCCUGCGCCUACGAGAUGGAGGAUUCUUAUCCCCUUAAAAACUCCCAUGACAUUGAAUAGAGAGAGGCCAAGAAUGUCGGCUAAGAUCCAUGUUUCCAAAAAGCCCAACAUCAAGAUGAGCCUAAGAAUGUUCAUGAAGAUGGACUUGGAGAACUUGGAAGAAGAAUAAUGAUACCCAUAAGCUCAAUUACAAGAUCUAGGUCCAAGAAACUUCAACAAGUCUUCAGUCUUUUUUUUAAGAUUGGAUUAGUGAAGAGGAAGCUUGGGAGGGCCAAUAAAGAUUCAAGAAAACAUGGGCAUGUGUGGAUAUUAUUAUAUCAUGUGGCUGAGAGGAAGAUGGAAAAAUGGCUCUUUCCCGUGAAAGAAAACUUGCCCUGUGAGAGUCUUCACCAACCUGCAACAUGGAGGAGACCUGA
rnacentral:lncRNA from 1 species